rnacentral:rRNA from 1 species
UAGGGAAUCUUCGGCAAUGGACGAAAGUCUGACCGAGCAACGCCGCGUGAGUGAAGAAGGUUCUCGGAUCGUAAAACUCUGUUGUUAGAGAAGAACAAGGACGUUAGUAACUGAACGUCCCCUGACGGUAUCUAACCAGAAAGCCACGGCUAACUACGUGCCAGCAGCCGCGGUAAUACGUAGGUGGCAAGCGUUUUCCGGAUUGAUUGGGCGUAAAGCGAGCGCAGGCGGUUUCUUAAGUCUGAUGUGAAAGCCCUCGGCUCAACCGGGGAAGGUCAUUGGAAACUGGGGAGCUUGAGUGCGGAAGAGGAGGGUGGAAUUCCAUGUGUAGCGGUGAAAUGCGUAGAUAUAUGGAGGAACACCAGUGGCGAAGGCGGCUCUCUAGUCUGUAACUGACGCUGAGGCUCGAAAGCGUGGGGAGCAAACAGG